UACGAAAGGAGCAAGUGUUAUUCAGAUUAACUGGGCGUAAAGGGCACGUAGGUGGUUUGUUUAUGUGUAUUAUUAAAUUAUAAAGCAUAACUUUAUAAUGUAGUAUAAACAGCAAAACUAGAGUUAGGUAGAGAGUAGUAGAAUUUCUAAUGUAAAGGUGAAAUUUGAUAAAAUUAGAGAGAAUAACCAAUGGCGUAAGCAAC
rnacentral:rRNA from 1 species